UACGUAGGGUGCGAGCGCUGUCCGGAAUUAUUGGGCGUAAAGGGCUCGUAGGCGGUUUGUCGCGUCGGGAGUGAAAACUCAGGGCUUAACCCUGAGCCUGCUUCCGAUACGGGCAGACUAGAGGUAUGCAGGGGAGAACGGAAUUCCUGGUGUAGCGGUGAAAUGCGCAGAUAUCAGGAGGAACACCGGUGGCGAAGGCGGUUCUCUGGGCAUUACCUGACGCUGAGGAGCGAAAGUGUGGGGAGCGAACAGG
rnacentral:rRNA from 1 species